CAAUAGCGUAUACUAAAGUUGUUGCAGUUAAAAGGCUCGUAGUCGAAUUUAUGAUCCUGUGAACCUGGCCCAACCUCUAGCAGGUUGCGUGCCGGUGUGCACGGAUCUUUGUUUAUCAUUUCUGAAACGCAUUGUCGCCUUUGAUUAGGUUUUUUUAGAUUUUGUAGUUCAGAUCAUUUACUGUGAGUAAAUCAAAGUGUUCAAAGCAGGCUUUAAUGCUUGUAUGGUUCAGCAUGGAAUAAUAAGAUAAGACUUCGGUUUUUGUUUUGUUGGCUUGACGAACCAAAGUAAUGAUUGAAAGGGAUAGUUGGGGGUGCUAGUAUUUAAUGGUCAGCGGUGAAAUGCGAGGACCCAUUAAAGACUAACUUAUGCGAAAGCAUUCACCAAGGAUAUCUUCUUUGA
rnacentral:rRNA from 1 species